GGAAGUUACCCUGGAAACGGGAUGCAACAGCACUCAACCCACUUUAAGGCAUGGGAGAGGUGUGUGUUAAUGUUUGUCUACAUGUGUACCAUGCACAUGCAGUAAAUGCCUGGAGAGGCCAGGUGGGAGUGUCAUAUCCCCUACAAGUGAAUUUACAAGCAGUUUUGAGUUAUCAUGUGGAUGCUAGGACCUGAAUCUUCAUCCUCUGAAAGAACUCACUAGAGGAAGGAACUGUGCAAAGGAGUCAUUCUGUGUGCACACACAAGCUCAACUUGAGGGAACCUUUGCUACCUAUGACCACACAUCUCUACUCCGUUUCCAGUCACGUUUCCUGUCUCUCCCAGAUCAGAUUCUAGUACCAACAUCUUGGCUUAAAGUGAACAAAAGUUUGCUGAACUUUCAGAGCAAUGGCUUCUAUUUUUCCUGAGGCUGGGAUGUCC